UGCCCUAUGGAUUCAGUUCUGCAG
rnacentral:miRNA from 1 species